rnacentral:rRNA from 1 species
CGCCUACGGGGGGCAGCAGUAGGGAAUCUUCCACAAUGGUCGGGAGACUGAACCAGCCAAGCCGCGUGAGGGAUGAAGGUACAGAGUAUCGUAAACCUCUUUUGUCAGGGAACAAAGGCGGGGACGUGUCCCCGGAUGAGUGUACCUGAAGAAAAAGCAUCGGCUAACUCCGUGCCAGCAGCCGCGGUAAUACGGAGGAUGCGAGCGUUAUCCGGAUUUAUUGGGGUUAAAGGGUGCGCAGGCGGUCUGUUAAGUCAGCGGUCAAAGCCCGGGGCUCAACCCCGGCCCGCCGUUGAAACCGGCCG